rnacentral:lncRNA from 10 species
GGAUAAGGUUCCCAGGCCAAUGGAGUUGUGUAUCUAGGUGGAUUAUGACUGCCUCUGCUGAGUCAUGCAGGUUGUCAGGGAAGUGGGGGAAACCUGGCAGUCAUAGGCCUCACCCAGCUCCCACGUAAACUAAAGAGCCAGUCUCACUCCCACCAUGCCCCCCGCUCCAACAGCUCGGAGUUUGUUUCCAGGCGGUAGGCAAGCCAGGCUUGAGAACUUGCCCCAGGCUACCCGCCUAGGUUCUUCCCCCACCUGUGAAGACUGCACACUGGAUUCGUGCACUCCUCUGAGUUCUGAUUUCAUGAAGAUAAGCAAGUGUUCGUGAUUAAGCAUUCUUACUGUGAUUUAAAAUAAUUCAUAGUUUAUGCAACAACUUUGGAUACCUAGCUGAAAGAGCAGGAGAGAAGUCGCUCAAGAAGCAGUGAUUUAUGCAGAUACCUACAAAGAUAGAAUAUUGUCUCCAGAUGAGGAGGGCAAGAUGACAUUUAGCAUAUACAAUGACUUUCUGUAAGUUAUCAAAAAGCAUCCUUUUCUCUGGGGCACAUGGUCCAGGUCAUCUUUGCAGGAAGAAAACAGACUGAAAAUUCAGCUACAUUGCCCCCUCAUCUUGGUACCCAACUGAAGAAUGCGACUAACUGAUGUCACUGACCCUGAUGAAAGGAAUGGAGACAAAGCAUUGAGAGAGAACCCUUUUUCCCCCAGCAUGUGACUAGUAAGUA